GUCCACGCAGUAAACGAUGAAUACUAGCUGUAUGCGAUAUACUGUAUGUGGCAAAGCGAAAGCGUUAAGUAUUCCACCUGGGGAGUACGUUCGCAAGAAUGAAACUCAAAGGAAUUGACGGGGGCCCGCACAAGCGGAGGAACAUGUGGUUUAAUUCGAUGAUACGCGAGGAACCUUACCCGGGCUUGAAAUGCAUCUGACCGACGAGGAAACUUGUCUUCUAGCAAUAGCAGAUGUGUAGGUGCUGCAUGGUUGUCGU
rnacentral:rRNA from 1 species